GAUGAAGAACGUAGCGAAAUGCGAUAAGUAGUGUGAAUUGCAGAAUUCAGUGAAUCAUCGAAUCUUUGAACGCACAUUGCGCCCCUUGGUAUUCCAUGGGGCAUGCCUGUUCGAGCGUCAUUUGUACCUUCAAGCUUUGCUUGGUGUUGGGUGUUUGUCCUGAGGGACUCGCCUUAAAGUAAUUGGCAGCCAGUGUUUGGUUUUGAAGCGCAGCACAAGUCGCGAUUCAAAGCUAUACGCCCGCUUCCACAAGCCUUUUUCACUUUUGACCUCGGAUCAGGUAGGGAUACCCGAUGAACUUAAGCAUAUCAAUAAGCGGAGGA
rnacentral:misc_RNA from 1 species